UGUAAAGGUUUUAAUUUCUCCAUCAAAUCUGAAUGAGAUCCUUGCUGGGUAGAGUAAUCUUGGUUGCAGGUUUUUCUCCUUCAUCAUUUUAAGUAUGUCCUGCCAGUCCCUUCUGGCUUGCAGAGUUUCUGCUGAAAGAUCAGCUGUUAACCUUAAGGGGAAUCCCUUGUGUGUUCUUUGUUGUUUUCCCCUUGCUGCUUUUAAUAUGUUUUCUUUGUAUUUAAUUUUUGACAGUUUGAUUAAUAUGUGUCUUGGUGUAUUUCUCCUUGGAUUUAUCCUGUAUGGGACUCUCUAUGCUUCCUGGACUUGAUGAACUAUUUCCUUUCCCAUAUUAGGGAAGUUUUCAACUAUAAUCUCUUCAAAUGUUUUCUCAGUCCCUUUCUUUUUCUCUUCUUCUUCUGGAACCCCUAUAAUUCGAAUGUUGGUGCGUUUAAUGUUGUCCCAGAGGUCUCUGAGACUGUCCUCAGUUCUUUUCAUUCUUUUUUCUUUAUUCUGCUCUGCGGUAGUUAUUUCCACUAUUUUAUAUUCCAGGUCACUUAUCCAUUCUUCUGCCUCAGUUAUUCUGCUAUUGAUCCCAUCUAGAGUAUUUUUCAUUUCGUUUAUUGUGUUGUUCAUCGUUGUUUGUUUCAUCUUUAGUUCUUCUAGGUCCUUGUUAAAUGUUUCUUACAUUUUGUCUAUUCUAUUUCUAAGGUUUUGGAUCAUCUUUACUUUCAGUAUUCUGAAUUCUUUUUCAGGUAGACUGCCUAUUUCCUCUUCAUUUGUUAGGUCUGGUGUGUUUUUAUCUUGCUCCUUCAUCUGCUGUGUGUUUUUCUGUCUUCUCAUUUUGCUUAUCUUACUGUGUUUGGGGUCUCCUUUUUGCAGGCUGCAGGUUCGUAGUUCCUGUUGUUUUUGGUGUCUGUCCCCAGCGGCUACGGUUGGUUCAGUGGGUUGUGUAGGCUUCUGGUGGAGGGGACUAGUGCCUGUGUUCUGAUGGAUGAGGCUGGAUCUUGUCUUUCUGGUGGGCAGGUCCACGUCUGGUGGUGUGUUUUGGGGUGUCUGUGGACUUAUUAUGAUUUUAGGCAGCCUCUCUGCUAAUGGGUGGGGUUGUGUUCCUGUCUUGCUAGUUGUUUGGCAUAGGAUGUCCAGCACUGUAGCUUGCUGGUCGUUGAGUGAAGCUGGGUGCUGGUGUUGAGAUGGAGAUCUCUGGGAGAUUUUCACCAUUUGAUAUUAUGUGGAGCUGGGAGGUCUCUUGUGGACCAGUGUCCUGAAGUUGGUUCUCCCACCUCAGAGGCACAGCACUGACUCCUGGCUGCAGCACCAAGAGCCUUUCAUCCACACGGCUCAAAAUAAAAGGGAGAAAAAGUAGAAAGAAAGAAAGAAGAAAAAAUACCAUAAAAUAAAGCAAGAUAAAAUAAAGUUAUUAAAAUAAAAAAUAAUUAUUAAGAAAAAAAA